rnacentral:rRNA from 1 species
AUACGUAGGGGGCUAGCGUUAUCCGGAAUUACUGGGCGUAAAGGGUGCGUAGGUGGUUUCUUAAGUCAGAAGUGAAAGGCUACGGCUCAACCGUAGUAAGCUUUUGAAACUAAGAGACUUGAGUGCAGGAGAGGAGAGUAGAAUUCCUAGUGUAGCGGUGAAACGCGUAGAUAUUAGGAGGAAUACCAGUUGCGAAGGCGGCUCUCUGGACUGUAACUGACACUGAGGCACGAAAGCGUGGGGAGCAAACAGGAUUAGAUACCCUGGUAGUCCACGCCGUAAACGAUGAGUACUAGCUGUCGGGGGUUACCCCCCUCGGUGGCGCAGCUAACGCAUUAAGUACUCCGCCUGGGAAGUACGCUCGCAAGAGUGAAACUCAAAUGAAUUGACGGGG